rnacentral:rRNA from 1 species
CAGGAUUAACGCUGGCGGCGUGCCUAAUACAUGCAAGUCGAAUGGUAGCAAUACCAUGGCGAACGGGUGAGUAACACGUAGGUAACCUGUCUUUAAGCCGAGGAUAACCAUUGGAAACGAUGGAUAAUACUGGAUAGGACAUUUGAAGGCAUCUUUAGAUGUUUAAAGAUUUAUCACUUAGAGAGGGGCCUGCGGCGCAUUAGCUAGUUGGUGAGGUGAAGGCUUACCAAGGCGAUGAUGCGUAGCCGGACUGAGAGGUUGAACGGCCACAAUGGAACUGAGAACGGUCCAUACUCCUACGGGAGGCAGCAGUAGGGAAUUUUCGGCAAUGGGCGGAAGCCUGAACCCGAGCAACGCCGCGUGAACGAAGAAGUAUUUCGGUAUGUAAAGUUCUUUUAUUAGGGACGAAAAGACAGAUUGACGGUACCUAAUGAAUAAGCUCCGGCUAACUACGUGCCAGCAGCCGC